rnacentral:tRNA from 1 species
GGCCCUGUGGCGCAACGGUAGCGCAUCUGACUCCAGAUCAGAUGUUGUCCGUUCGAAUCGGGC